ACUCAAAUGAAUAGACGGGGGCCCGCACAAGCGGUGGAGCAUGUGGUUUAAUUCGAUGCAACGCGAAGAACCUUACCUACUCUUGACAUCCUCGGAACCACCCAGAGAUGGGUGGGUGCCUGAAAGGGAACCGAGAGACAGGUGCUGCAUGGCUGUCGUCAGCUCGUGUCGUGAGAUGUUGGGUUAAGUCCCGUAACGAGCGCAACCCUUGUCCUUAGUUGCCAGCACGUCAUGGUGGGAACUCUAAGGAGACCGCCGGUGAUAAACCGGAGGAAGGUGGGGAUGACGUCAAGUCAGCAUGGCCCUUACGAGUAGGGCUACACACGUGCUACAAUGGGCAGUACAAAGAGUCGCGACCCCGCGAGGGCUAGCCAAUCUCAAAAAGCUGUUCGUAGUCCGGAUCGGAGUCUGCAACUCGACUCCGUGAAGUCGGAAUCGCUAGUAAUCGCGGAUCAGAAUGCCGCGGUGAAUACGUUCUCGGGCCUUGCACACACCGCCCGU
rnacentral:rRNA from 1 species